AUUUUUUUCUCUACAUAACAUUAACUAUAUAAAUAGAUUUAAAGUUUAUUCAAAUAAGGUACAGCCUAUUUGAAACAGGAUACAACCUCCAACAAAGGGUAAUGUUUAAACAAAUGUGAUUAAGUAGGCCCAAAAGCAGCCAUCUUUUAAAAAGCGUUAAAGCCUCCUCACAUCAAAUGAUUAAUAUCAACCUUAACCCAAAACCCCCCACCCCUACUGAAUGAUUUCAUAUUUAUAUGAAAACCCUUAUGUCAGAACUAGUAACAAGAAUAACCAUUCUCCAAUAAUUGUAAGUGUAAGCCGAAAUGGACCACCCAUCGGCACCCACCGUUAAUGAAUCCACAGUAAUAACUUUCCUCAAGAAAACCUUACUUUUUUCCAACGUUAACCUUACACAAGGACAUUUCUGGAAAGAUUAUAAAAGAAGGAAG
rnacentral:rRNA from 1 species